rnacentral:rRNA from 1 species
AUGCCAAUUAUGAAGUUAUGCUUUGCCAUCUACACUGCCCCUGCCAAAGGAGAUUUUGUAAGCAAGAGCCUGAAGGGUACUACAGGCCUGCCACAGUCUGCUCUUAUGCUUCAUCAAUGGAUUUGUGUAGAAAUGAGCAACAGGAUACUGCCAGAGUUUCUGGUUGAGAUCAGCGCGGAAAGGCUAAUCCAAAUAGUGCAUCUUUUGGUUGGCCGGGAUCAUGGCCCGGUCCAUGCUAGUGCCAGAAAACGCGAGGUAGGCAACUGGAGGCAACGAGGACACGGUGGAGGCCUACAUCUCUCCAGCUAA